CGCCCGGAGUCCUCGCAGUCUCUCUUGGACUCUCUUCGCCGCAGCACGGACUCUAGCCACCGCACGCCACGCCCGCACUCUCCUAUCAGUUUCCCAUGUUGUUCCGCGCCCUUAUGUGUCAAUGAGGAAUAAGGUUCUAUCGUUUAAUGCCAGAGACAAGUUUCUCCCAACAGUCCGUUUGGCCAAGAAUUUGAGCACCCGAAAAGGCAGCCGUCGAGGCAACGCGGGCAACCGUCUAGAACUUCAGGUGCUCACCCAGCUCCAGCACGUUCCGUAGAUUCUCGAACCCGUGGUUCGUCAAGUGGUCACUAGUGGUCGCAUUCACGCACUCCGAAUCCGUCAAGAUGGUCCAGGAAGACAAGGCUUGUGGGUACACUGUGCGCAGCUACGAGACGAGGGACCCCGCCGCCAAGAAGGCCGGGUACGAUGCGGUGCGGCGCGCCGAGGCGGAGCGCCAGCGCCUGCAGCAGGAGAAGGAGCGCGAGAAGCAGAAGCAAGCCCAGGCCAACAAGAGCUACGGUUCCUGGGGGCCCGUCUUCAAGAACCGCGAGCACUUCAACUCCAUGCACAUUUGUUGAGGCCCUUCAAACGCCCGCCACAAACGCCCCGCACGUCUAAAAGAAAAAGAAAUAAUUUGGAGUCCGAGAUUGUCGCAGCUUGACUGAUUUUGAACUGAUCUUUUGUAAUGACUUAAAAAAGGAAAAAAGACUGAUUCUUGAGUGUGCCAUACAUCGUGAAAGUCCAUAUUUUUCGUUCCAGUUGUCGUGGUUGGCUAGUUUUGUGUGCGUGAAUGUGACCACUAGUCACGCUGGGUCCCCGUUGCGGGGGCCCAAUUGACAUUGCUUUUCUGUUUUGCUUUCAUUUUGCUUUUGGGUAGCGGCACCUUGCCAUUUCAUUGAAAUAAAGUAAGGUUAUUAUCUGGGUAAA